CAGUUUUUAUCUGAAGCAGGACUGUUUUUUUCCUGGCCAUAAAGAGAAGAGAGACAUCAUGAUAUGUUCUCUUCUGAGGAAGUACUGAGAUUUUCUGGGGUCCACCAACCACAACUGGAGGUCUUGAGACAAUGACUGAAGAAUCACCUGCAUAUGAUACAUUAGAGGAGUUGAUUUUUCAGAGAAUGACCUUGUGAACUUCAAAGGUUGGAGGUUUUGGACUUCUCAUCUGCAUCCUAGCAGCAUCCCAAAGAACAGCAAUGACUGGCAGCCAUGUUUUGGUUUCUACAUUGGGAGCUGAGGAGAA